AGAGUUUGAUCCUGGCUCAGAUUGAACGCUGGCGGUAGGCUUAACACAUGCAAGUCGUGCGAGAAAGUAUCUUCGGAUAUGAGUAGAGCGGCGGACGGGUGAGUAACGCGUAGGAAUCUACCUAGUAGAAGGGGAUAGCCCGGGGAAACCCGGAUUAAUACCGUAUACCUCCUUUGGGAGAAAGAAGGCCUCUCUUUAGAAGCUUUCGCUACAAGAUGAGCCUGCGUGAGAUUAGCUUGUUGGUGAGGUAAGGGCUCACCAAGGCGACGAUCUUUAGCUGGUCUGAGAGGACGAUCAGCCACAUUGGGACUGAGACACGGCCCAGACUCCUACGGGAGGCAGCAGUGGGGAAUCUUAGACAAUGGGCGCAAGCCUGAUCUAGCCAUGCCGCGUGAGUGAUGAAGGCCUUAGGGUCGUAAAGCUCUUUCGCCUGUGAUGAUAAUGACAGUAGCAAGUAAAGAAACCCCGGCUAACUCCGUGCCAGCAGCCGCGGUAAUACGGAGGGGGUUAGCGUUGUUCGGAAUUACUGGGCGUAAAGCGCACGUAGGCGGAUUGGAAAGUUGGGGGUGAAAUCCCGGGGCUCAACCCCGGAACUGCCUCCAAAACUAUCAGUCUAGAGUUCGAGAGAGGUGAGUGGAAUUCCAAGUGUAGAGGUGAAAUUCGUAGAUAUUUGGAGGAACACCAGUGGCGAAGGCGGCUCACUGGCUCGAUACUGACGCUGAGGUGCGAAAGUGUGGGGAGCAAACAGGAUUAGAUACCCUGGUAGUCCACACCGUAAACGAUGAAUGCCAGUCGUCGGGCAGUAUACUGUUCGGUGACACACCUAACGGAUUAAGCAUUCCGCCUGGGGAGUACGGUCGCAAGAUUAAAACUCAAAGGAAUUGACGGGGGCCCGCACAAGCGGUGGAGCAUGUGGUUCAAUUCGAAGCAACGCGCAGAACCUUGCCAACCCUUGACAUACUCGUCGUCGCUCCAGAGAUGGAGCUUUCAGUUCGGCUGGACGAGAUACAGGUGCUGCAUGGCUGUCGUCAGCUCGUGUCGUGAGAUGUUCGGUUAAGUCCGGCAACGAGCGCAACCCACAUCCCUAGUUGCCAGCAGUUCGGCUGGGCACUCUAUGGAAACUGCCCGUGAUAAGCGGGAGGAAGGUGUGGAUGACGUCAAGUCCUCAUGGCCCUUACGGGUUGGGCUACACACGUGCUACAAUGGCAGUGACAAUGGGUUAAUCCCAGAAAGCUGUCUCAGUUCGGAUUGGGGUCUGCAACUCGACCCCAUGAAGUCGGAAUCGCUAGUAAUCGCGUAACAGCAUGACGCGGUGAAUACGUUCCCGGGCCUUGUACACACCGCCCGUCACACCAUGGGAGUUGGUUCUACCCGACGACGCUGCGCUAACCUUCGGGGGGCAGGCGGCCACGGUAGGAUCAGCGACUGGGGUGAAGUCGUAACAAGGUAACC
rnacentral:rRNA from 1 species